ensembl:lncRNA
CUCCAGGUUUCCAUUGUAUCAGCAGGCACACAUUUAAACUUUGUAACACUGCAACAGGGUGAAGGUUGUUUGCAAGGGCUUUGGAGUCCAAACAAAAGAGAAAGAAAAACAACAAAAGCACAGCAGUUCCUUUCAAGAUAGUGGUACUACUGUUGCUAUUGUCCUAUUGGCUUUGUCCUGCUGCCGCUACAUAACCAAAUCUCAAGAACCACUCUCAUAAUUCAGCUUUGACACUAACUCCUGUGUAUCUACUCCUUCCUAGGUGAAUCGAGCCCUCGUCCACGCAGAAGAGCCAGAGCGUAUAGCGAUGGUUCACUGUGUGCUUCCAUCAGUGCAGAGCUGCUAGGAAGCACGAAUCGCUGCAGCUCAGAUGACAGCCUUCCAUACAACACCAGUGAUGGAAUGAAGGUGCUCAUCCAAGUGGAAGCCCUCAUCUCUCCCGGCUGUGCUGAAGACGCUGACCUGAGCCUGCCAGAAACAACGGUCACCGAGCUGGACUGUGACGGGGCGCCAUUGCAGUGCAGCCCAGCCCAAGCCCAGCCCGAGUGCCCCGACAGCAGCAGCUCCACGCAGGAUCAGGUC